UCAGCUAAUGCAGGAGGGGCUAACAGUUGUAGCUUAUUGGAGCAUUAAAUGAACUUUUUGAUUUUAAAUGCUGUCACACCCACGACAAUUUAAGGACAAUAGGCUCAUUAUGUUUUCUGGUAGAAAGUGUUCCGAGUCAAGUUCUGUGGUUUUCCAUCCCCUGACCUCUUUCUUUUGGUCUGUUGAGGCUUCUCCAUUCCAGGAUCUGUUUUACUUAUAGUCGAUCUUCUCAUCAUCUUACAACUCCUGUCCACCAUGCCUACCAAAUUGAGUUGUCUGAGGUGUGAGGACCAUCUAAGUGAUGUUGUCGAGGACUUAAAUCCAUCAUUGGAAUAAAUCUCUUUGAUAUCCUUAUGUAUGUUUAUUUAAUCUCUCCUUAACUCAUAGCAUUGUUGGUAUAAACAUAGUUCUCUACACAAAUAAAAAAACUGUCUUUUCUUGAUACUUAUUGAAUUUUAAAUUAUUCUUGUUAUUUCUUUGUGUUUUUUUAUGCACCUAAACUCUGUCUCAAAUUUUGUUUACAGGUUUCUUGUUUUAAUAAUAUCAGAUAUAAUUCAUUAAUGGAACAAGUAACAACGUUGGAUUACUGGCAAUAUGGAUUAUGGAUGAAUAUUCUUACACUCCUCCAUCAAACAUGUGCAAUUAUUUUGUACAAAAGGGUAGGUACUCUUCGUUUCAAUCUAAGUAUCUUAAUUUAAUGUCCUUUGGUUAAUCUUUAAUAAAGACCCCAUUUAAAUAAAGAGUUUAGGUACACUACAAAUAUCCUUAAUUAUCCUUAAUUUAAGACCACACUACACCACAUAUUUUCUUGAACUUUGUACCAGGUGCACGUAAAUUGAAACACAGGAAGUACUACCCUUUUUACUCAAAAAAUAUGCAUCAAACAAACUAAAGGAUGUUUUAAUGUUCCCUACAUUUUUCUCUAUUAUGUUUAGUAAGGUCUUUCCAUGCCUCCUUUUAACCCUUGAAUUAACUUUUGUGGUUGAUGUGUGCUAUGGUGAUGGGAUGUGAAGGACACAGUAUAUAUGUAUGGAAGUGUGCUUUAAGGGGUUAGUUUCGGUAUUGAUAUUCUCUGUUGAUGAGUCUCGUCUCAUUCCUACCGAAAAUAACGUGUGUGUCUCACCUAAUAGAACUAUAUAUAAAAAGAAUAAAAUCAUUAUUUUUGCGGUUCAUACCACUACCUCAAAGAUUCGUGAAAUAGAAAAAGUUAAAUUAAUGAACUAAGGUAUAUGCCUUUGUUAGCCUUUGCAAGAAUUCUGUUUUUCAAGCCCUGCAUAAUUUUUUGUCGAAAAUCAAUCAAAAAUCUCCUAAUUUGUUUUCUCUUCAAGAGAUAAUGAUACAACAACAUGCUCCCUCCAUUUCAUAUUAGUUGGUCUCUGUGGACUUGACACGCCCAUUAAGUAAAAAUUUAUUUUGAAAAUAUAAAUUUAUACACUUUAUUUAGUCAUUAAUAAUAGGAGUAGUAUCAAAAGAACAUAAUAAUAUUCUUUUGAUUUUAUAAAAGGGACAAUUAAAUUGAAACAAGAAGACCAACUAAUAUGAAACGGAGAAAGUAUUUGUUUUAAAAAACAUAUAAACAUCAACAACAUUACUUAAUAUAGUCAAAAGUCUUGUCCCUAUCUUUGUAAGGUAGAGAGACUACUAUUAAUAGAUUUUCGGCUCACAAGAAAUAAUUGUACAAUAAUAGCGUACUCAAUAUAGUAAUAUACCUUCGGAGUUGAAUUUGUAUCACAUUUGUAUUUUCUUUCUUUAUAUAAAUAGAGCCCCAACCUAUAAGGAAUUGAAGUGCUCAAUCUAAUUUGGACUAAAACAUUAUACGUGCACUUUUCCAUGUGUGUACAAGUAAAAAAUUUCAUAUAUUUAGGAGCCUCAUUUACUAAUUUCUAUAUUUUUAAUAGUCAAUAUUAUUUAAUACUUAUAAAAAAAGGAUUUUGUCAUCAAUUUUAAGAGUCUUAUAGAUUAUAGAUAAGGUCAAGCUAAACAUAAACAUAUAUUUUAUAGAUAAGGUUAAGGUAAACAUAAACAUAUAUUUUAGUGGAAACACGUAUAUAUUUUAUCAUCAUUGAUUUGCUGCACUUGGGCCGAGGGUCUAGCGGAAACAACGAGGUAGGGGUAAGUUUUCGUAUAUCCUACCCUUCCGAAACCCAACUUGUGGGAUAACACUGGGUAUGUUGUUGUGCAACAUCAAUCCAAUGGUUUGAACUUCUCGUUCAUGAUAGACAUUGUAGAUGAGUGAUGGCAACAGCUAGAAAUGUUUUUAUGCUUAUGUUAAGUUGGUGAUAUCUGGAAGACGUAUCUUUUUUAUUGGCUUCAAGUGUCGAUUUCGAAAUAAUUUACUUGACAAGAUUUUGGCAGGUAGUUUUAACCAGUACAAAUCCAUCGGAGCUCUGUGUCAGUGGCAUGUCCUUUUCCCGACAGUCAUCUAAAUGGGCGAAUGCUGCACUUGUUGUUACAGUCUCGUCAAAAGAUUUUGCUGCUUUGGACUUGCACAUACCUCUCGGUGGUGUUGAAUUUCAGGUACUACUUAUAAGCGUCCACACUAGCUGCAUAGAUUUUUUGAAAUUGGCAACGAGUUAUAUUCAUCAGUACCCUAAACAGGCCUGGUAUAUCAUAUCUACAGAUACAGCCUUGAACAAAACUUACAAAGAGGCGAAGAAGUCUAGUAACAUCAACUAACUGUUCUUUACACCAAAAAUAAAGAAGAGAAAUGCAGGAGCUCUUGAUCUUCUGGAUUGAACUGGUUCUGCCUUCACUCGGAUGCUGCCACCUAAUAAAAAAGACACAUUAUAACUAUGGCCUUUAACUUUGCCGGUGAACAAGUAGGCCCUUUCACUAUACAAAAGCAGAACAAAACAACACUUCAAUUCUAACUCCGACGAGCGUGAUUUUGAAUGUGGAAUAGAAGUAUUUUUUUUUGUUUAGCCUUUGUAUAGUUAAAGGGCCUACCUGUACACCGGUAAAGUUAAAAAGGUCAUAAUUAUAAUUCGGUGUCAAGUAUGAGUUUAGUUUCCAUAAAAUAAGACGAGAACAUUGUAUCGAAAAAUAAUUGGGUGGUCUUUAUUACAAUGGAUGUAUUAACUAAUACUAGUUUUGUUUUUAAAAAGCACAUUUUAAAAUAUUAAAAUUGAGUGUGUAGUAAUUAUCCCAUUUUUUCAUCAAUACUCACCCUCCUCACUACUUUGUGUUUCUUAGCUCUAUACCAUUUUUUCAUCCACACUGACUCUCCUCACUACUUUUAUCAUCCUACUUGGGUGAAUUAUUACACACUCCAAUUGAAGAGCAGAGCAGGUACUAAUAUUCCAGAUUGGUGUAUAGAGUGAUUCCCAGCUCUAGCCCACCUAUUAUUCUCUAGGUGAGUGCCGAUUUAUAUUUCAAAAUGUGUUAGGUUUAGAUGCUAAAAAAAUGUUUUGCCUGAAAAGAAUAUAGAAAUUUAGGAUUUCAUCAGUGUUGUUAAAGGGUGCGGGAAAGUGCUGAAUCCUAGGUGCAACCUAAGUUUGGGCCUUCUCUUUGUAGAUGGUUUCAACAAAAUUUGUUUGGGGUUUCAAGAAAUUUCAAAAACUAGAUAAGAAUAUUUUAAUACAUCCCAGAUUAAUUUGUGUUUUUUGCAUAAGUUUGACACUGUUGUUGAUUAAUAAUAUACUAACACUUGGCUGUUGUUGUUAUUGUUGUUGUUGUUGUUUGUGUAUUUUGCAAACAAACAUAAAUUUGACACUGUUAUUGAUUAAUAAUAUACAGCACUGGGUGGUGGUGGUGGUUGUAUACAGCAUGUCUGGAAAAGAACCUAUGAAGGAAGACUCAGAGGAGUCACCAAUGUCAAUAUCUGAAGAAAAGGAGCCAUCAGCGAUGUCCGAGGAAGCGGACUCGUCUACAAGGACAAUGCCUCAAGGUUUCUUGCCGCAGCCUCCUCCUCCUCCUCAGAUACCAUCCCCCGUCCGAAGAUACAUUCGUGGGAAGCGACCUCCCCCACCUCCGCCUCCAGUCCCAUCAGCUUUUGGGUACAUAAAUUUUAUAACUUGCUUUUAAAGACUCGAUUUAAAAUGAUUAAUAAUAUUGAACUGGAAUAUAUGACUCAUUUCACCAAUCCCAAACUGGUUUGAAGUGAGGUAUAGUUUGAUUAAUUUAUUGAAUCCAGUUAGAGAUUACAAAUAGGAAUUAGAUCUCCAUUAACGUUGUCUUUUAGUCCCUAAAGCUCAAAUUCUGCACUUUGGUUUAACUCCCUUUUGUCCCCGAGGAAUUGUCCAAUUUCUUAGAAGGUGGUUUCUACGCAGGCAUCUCUAUAUCAGGGGUCCUGAUGGUCCAUUAGAUGAUGCAAUGGUUAAAAGAUUACGUUUGACCACCGUGUGCCCGACAUCUUUGGCAUGGAUAAUUUAUCUUUCGGCUGUGAAGAGAGCAAAACUCCACUUCCAGUUUGAGACAUCUGUUAUCACUGAUGACAGAGGUAGCUUGACUAAUGAUUUACUAAUAUCAGUAAAUAUGUCAAAGAAGUUCUGACAACUCCUCUCUUAUCUUUUUUCACAGAACCGCGUUUUUGUAUGGAUACAAGAGUCUUCAAAAGUCUAGAAGAAUUCAUCAACAUCAAAACAAGUUUGUCGAUGGAGCCAAGGCAAAACGAGGUGCAGGUUGCACUCCACGAAUCUUGGAUUGAUAGAAAAUCAAGGGAGGAGGAGCAAACAAAAUUGCGAGAAAUAGAAGAAAAGAAGACACGGAUGACAGAACCCUUAUUCACUUUGGAAAGUGUGUAUUUAUGCACAUAUGGUUUGGUCCUCCAAUCAAACAAACAGUGGCUUUCAAAUGCGCUGCGUAAAAUUAAAGAACACUACAGGAUCAGCAGUGAAAAAGAAUUACAAGAAUAUGUAAGUUCAUAUAAAUUGGGUGAAGUGAUCUAUCUAUUCCUCAUCAAUAUAAAUACACUUCCUUUUCAGCAAAACUAUUAUUUGUGUGCUACAGUUGUUGGCAGAAAUAGAUACGGCUUGUCUGCACUUGUGUCGCGAGCUAGGAGCUCAAAAUUACUAUUUGGAUGAUCUGUAAGCCUCCCCAACUUCUUUUUUAACUUAAGUCUCUUUUGUUUCCUAUUCUUAUGUAAUUUCUCUACUCUUUUCAUGGUUUUCUAGGAGGAAAGGGUUCGCUGCAAAGGCAUCGUAAGUCAACUUCUAAUAUGUUCUAAGUUAGAAUUGAUAUAACUGAUGUGUCGACUUUCUUUUUUCUCCUUUUUGCCAGGGCCAUAGCCAUGCUGAACUUGUCCAUUUUGGAUGCAAAAAGCGCAGCUAGUAUACUGCUCAUCAUGAGUUUAACCGGCAUACAGGUGGGUAUAAUUUAUAUAUACGACAUGAGAACUUUCAAGGUUAUGCCUUGAACUUGCAAGUCAAGGUAUAAGCACCUUUUUUGCGGAAUCUCCCCGGCCCCUCCAUAUUCUGCAAUCCCAGGUUCAACAUGAUACCCCCUUCUUGUGCCACUAGUCUCCGGGCAAGCAAACCUCUAACCCAUCCCUAUUCCCAUUACUUUUGAAUUUGACAUCAAAAGUAACUAAACCUUUUGACGAGUACCCCCUUUGAAUCUCUAGUUAUCUUCCAACACUCAAUGUCAGGUUCCAUUCUUCUAGCUUGUCCGCAGCCUAUCAAUUUUGUUAGAAUAAUUUCACAGCCUCCUCUUCAUGACCCUGGAAAUAUCUGCCCCUAAUGUUUUGAUGUACCCAGAGAUUGUUGCAUCCCUUUCUCAAUCGAGAAUAGCUUGUUGUUGAUGAAUAAGAAGAGGCGUGGCCUCCUCUUACCUCCCAAUUUUCUAUCCUAGAGAUUGAAUUCUCUUUGGCUGAUUCAGUGGACUUAUCUUCAAUUAUCCUUCUAUCCUUCAAUUUUCGCAGUCAUAACCUCUUCUGUGUUCAUCGCUGCCUUUACAUAUGAAUCUUCUGUGUGUUGCGACUUUGCAUGCGAAGAAUUCUGGGCAGACUAGAGAGAAGUCCAGAACUUAGAUGAAACAGUGGGGAGUUGAUGCCUUGUAAGUCAUUAAAAAUGACUUGGCCAGCGAAAUCAAGACCAACACUCUUGCAAAAACUGCACUCGUAUCGUCCAAAUCAUCCACUUAUCAAACUACCAAAACAUCACGAUGUUUGAUUUUGCAUGUGCUUGAAGCACGAUUCUAUAUUGGCUUGAAUAUUUCGGGUGUUACAAUAUAAACCCCAAAGCAAGCACUUUUCCAAUUUGUUGUUGACCAUCUGCUUACAUCUGCAAGUGUGGAUUGGAUCACUCCUUAGCCUCCUCUCCGAAGCACCCAACUAGACAUUUUUUUUCAAUAGCCCAUCGAUCAUCCCGUACUCCAGAUGGUUCAGGAACACCAAGUUUCUUUGAUCAUUGGCAUUUACUUUCUUCGUACGACCUUUAGGUGUGGGUAGUUGGCUUCAGCUAAUGCAGGAGGGGCUAACAGUUGUAGCUUAUUGGAGCAUUAAAUGAACUUUUUGAUUUUAAAUGCUAUGUCACACCCACCCCACCCAUGACAAUUUAAGGACAAUAGGCUCAUUAUGUUUUCUGGUAGAAAGUGUUCCGAGUCAAGUUCUGUGGUUUUCCAUCCCCUGACCUCUUUCUUUUGGUCUGUUGAGGCUUCUCCAUUCCAGGAUCUGUUUUACUUAUAGUCGAUCUUCUCAUCAUCUUACAACCCCUGUCCACCAUGCCUACCAAAUUGAGUUGUCUGAGGUGUGAGGACCAUCUAAGUGAUGUUGUCG
rnacentral:lncRNA from 1 species